rnacentral:lncRNA from 1 species
AUGUGUGGGAGAUUUGGCUUUUGCAGACGCUGGAGAGAUGGAUUAUUUUGGGAUGCUACAGGAUCCCUUACCGGGGUGGGUCAGUGCCAUGCGGAGAGAGUCCAAGGCCGUGUCCAAAGCCUGGAGCAAGGCCAAUCCGCACACGCAAUCUCACACGGGAGGGACGCUGGAAAAGCUAAUUACCGGGGGGUAAUUGCACCCUGGGCCACAAAGCGGAAGGGUCGCUCCCGGGCCGGCGCUGUCGGAUCGGGGGAGCUGCGGGCGACCAGGGACAGGGAGCGGGGAGCUGAGGGGAGCGGGGAAGGUUUGGGGUUAGAGGUUGGCUCCACACAAAGGAGCGAGCGGCUGGAAGCCGGUUCGACGCCGGGAGCCAAUCGCUGCUGCGGCCCCGCGAUAAAAGGGCUCGGAGCCGGCGGUGGCAGCGCAGGAAGCGGCUCCGCUCCACGGCCGCGGCCUCUGCCUCUGCGGCGGGACACGGGCACCGAGCCCCGGGCACCAGAGCCCCGGCACGGCCCCGCCCGGCCCCGCGGAUCCUCCUGCUCGGCGGUGAGCUCGGCUCGUGGGCAGCGAGGGCGGCGGGAGGCGGCUGCGAGACAAUGCCGGCCCCGGUGUGGGGAGCGAGGGGUUCGCUCUCCCCGGGGAUUUCCGACCGCGCAGCGCUGGCAGAGCUGGGGGCAGCCGGAGCCACCAGCGGGGGGGGAGAGACACGGGCGGGCGGGGAGAAGGGAUGGAGGGGAGCCAGGAACGCUCGGGGCGCCCCGGGCACCCGCAGAGCGGGGCUCGUCCCCGCGGUACCGGCGGCGCUCGGCUGCGGGAGGGGGCUCGGCCCGGGGGUCGCGGGAGGCAGACCGGAGGUCUGGAAGGGAGGUGUUGGGAGCCGGGGCAGGCGCUGCCGGAGCCCCGGAGCCGGCUGGGGAGCGGGGUGAGCUCCCGGACCGAGUGAGCCCCGGCGGGGGCUGGCACCCGCUGCGGCCGCAGGCCUGCGCUGCCCGGCUCUGCUCCGGGGGUGCCGAUUUGGGCGCGUAUUUCGGGGCUCCCGCUCCCCGAUUGGGCUUAAUUCCCUUUGUUGUGUGCUGCAGUACAUGCUGGAGGAGGGCUGGACAGAUCCAUUUUAUUAAGCUGAUCAGAAGGAGCAGAGAUGGAAGAAAAAACCUGUUAGAUCCCGACUCCCUUAUCCCCCGCCGUUAA